GACGAACGCUGGCGGCGUGCCUAAUACAUGCAAGUUGAGCGCUGAAGGUUGGUACUUGUACCGACUGGAUGAGCAGCGAACGGGUGAGUAACGCGUGGGGAAUCUGCCUUUGAGCGGGGGACAACAUUUGGAAACGAAUGCUAAUACCGCAUAAAAACCUUAAACACAAGUUUUAAGUUUGAAAGAUGCAAUUGCAUCACUCAAAGAUGAUCCCGCGUUGUAUUAGCUAGUUGGUGAGGUAAAGGCUCACCAAGGCGAUGAUACAUAGCCGACCUGAGAGGGUGAUCGGCCACAUUGGGACUGAGACACGGCCCAAACUCCUACGGGAGGCAGCAGUAGGGAAUCUUCGGCAAUGGACGAAAGUCUGACCGAGCAACGCCGCGUGAGUGAAGAAGGUUUUCGGAUCGUAAAACUCUGUUGGUAGAGAAGAACGUUGGUGAGAGUGGAAAGCUCAUCAAGUGACGGUAACUACCCAGAAAGGGACGGCUAACUACGUGCCAGCAGCCGCGGUAACAC
rnacentral:rRNA from 1 species